rnacentral:rRNA from 1 species
CUACGUGCCAGCAGCCGCGGUAAUACGUAGGGGGCAAGCGUUAUCCGGAUUUACUGGGUGUAAAGGGAGCGCAGACGGCGAAGCAAGUCUGAAGUGAAAUGCAUGGGCUCAACCCAUGAAUUGCUUUGGAAACUGUUUGGCUUGAGUGUCGGAGGGGUAAGCGGAAUUCCUAGUGUAGCGGUGAAAUGCGUAGAUAUUAGGAAGAACACCGGUGGCGAAGGCGACAAACUGGACGAUAACUGACGUUGAGGCACGAAAGUGUGGGGAGCAAACAGGAUUAGAUACCCUGGUAGUCCACACCGUAAACGAUGGAUACUAGGUGUUGGCAAUGAAUAAUUGUCGGUGCCGGCGCUAACGCAAUAAGUAUCCCACCUGGGGAGUACGACCGCAAGGUUGAAACUCAAAGGAAUUGACGGGGGCCCGCACAAGCAGUGGAGUAUGUGGUUUAAUUCGAUGCUACGCGAAGAACCUUACCAAGGCU